UACGGAGGAUGCAAGCGUUAUCCGGAAUGAUUGGGCGUAAAGCGUCCGUAGGUGGUAUUUCAAGUCUGCUGUCAAAGAGUCUGGCUCAACCAGAUAAAGGCAGUGGAAACUGAAAAACUAGAGUGCGUUCGGGGUAGAGGGAAUUCCUGGUGUAGCGGUGAAAUGCGUAGAGAUCAGGAAGAACACCGGUGGCGAAGGCGGUCGACUGGGCCAGUACUGACGCUGAGGCGCGACAGCGUGGGGAGCAAACAGG
rnacentral:rRNA from 1 species